GACGAACGCUGGCGGCGUGCUUAACACAUGCAAGUCGAACGGAAAGGCUCCAGCUUGCUGGAGUACUCGAGUGGCGAACGGGUGAGUAACACGUGGGUAAUCUGCCCUGCACUCUGGGAUAAGCCUGGGAAACUGGGUCUAAUACUGGAUAUGACCUUUCUCCUUAUGGGGUUUGGUGGAAAGUUUUUCGGUGUAGGAUGAGCCCGCGGCCUAUCAGCUUGUUGGUGGGGUGAUGGCCUACCAAGGCGACGACGGGUAGCCGGCCUGAGAGGGUGAUCGGCCACAUGGGGACUGGGAAAGGGCCCAGACCCCUCGGGGGGGCAGAGGGGGGGAAUAUUGCAAAAGGGGGGGAAGCCGGAUGCAGGGACGCCGGGUGGGGGAGGACGGCCUUGGGGUGGGAAACCUUUUUCAGCGGGGAAGAAGGGUAAGGGAGGGUACCGGCAAAAAAAGCACCGGCUAACUAUGG
rnacentral:rRNA from 1 species